rnacentral:misc_RNA from 1 species
GUAGGUGAACCUGCGGAAGGAUCAUUAAUGAAUUGCUGGGAGGUUGUUGCUGGCUCCCUUUGGGGGCAUGUGCACACCUUUUACCUUUCUUUCCACCUGUGCACCGUUUGUAGGCAGAGCCCUAUGAUUUUACAUACUCGAUAACAUAUGUGUAUUGGUUGGCUCUUAAUAUAAAUACAACUUUCAACAAUGGAUCUCUUGGUUCUC